AUUGAACGCUGGCGGCAGGCCUAACACAUGCAAGUCGAACGAGUGGCGGACGGGUGAGUAAUGUCUGGGAAACUGCGUGAUGGAGGGGGAUAACUACUGGACACGGGAUCUAAUACCGCAUACUCUGAGAUGUGCCCAGAUGGGAGUAGCUAGUGGGUGGGGUAACGUCUCACCAAGGCGACGAUCCCUAGCUGGUUUGAGAGGAUGACCAGCCACACUGGAACUGAGACACGGUCCAGACUCCGACGGGAGGCAGCAGUGGGGAAUAUUGCACAAUGGGCGCAAGCCUGAUGCAGCCAUGCCGCGUGUAUGAAGAAGGCCUUCGGGUUGUAAAGGACUUUCAGCGGUGAGGCGUUACCCGCAGAAGAAGCACCGGCUAACUCCGUGCCAGCAGCCGCGGUAAUAC
rnacentral:rRNA from 1 species